CUACGGGCCGCUGCAGUGAGGAAUAUUGGUCAAUGGGCGCAAGCCUGAACCAGCCAUCCCGCGUGCAGGAUGACAGCCCUAGAGGUUGUAAACUGCUUUUGUAUAGGAAGAAUAAGAGCUACGUGUAGCUUGAUGACUGUACUAUACGAAUAAGCACCGGCUAACUCCGUGCCAGCAGCCGCGGUAAUACGGAGGGUGCAAGCGUUAUCCGGAUUUAUUAGGUUUAAAGGGUGCGUAGGCGGGAUCUUAAGUCAGUGGUAAAAGGCAUUAGCUUAACUAAUGUAAGCCAUUGAAACUGGGAUUCUUGAGUUCGGUUGAGGUAGGCGGAAUGUGUUGUGUAGCGGUGAAAUGCAUAGAUAUAACACAGAACACCGAUUGCGAAGGCAGCUUACUAAGCCGUUACUGACGCUGAUGCACGAAAGCGUGGGUAUCAAACAGGAUUAGAUACCCGCGUAGUC
rnacentral:rRNA from 1 species